AACAUCACAAUUUACAGUCUUCAAAAUUAACAGCAACACUACUUAUAACAAACCCAAACUGAAUAUUUUAAACACCAUAAAGGUUUUAAUUCUUGCAGGGUUGUUGAAUCAUACUGCAUAAGUGUUAGCUAAACGUAAUCCAAUAAACUAAAUGUAAUUCAAAAUAACAUAGAAUAUUGGUUUAUAGUUGUUGUUUUUUUGUAGUUAAUAGAUAACUGUUCUUAACCACUAGUUGUCUAAAUAAAUGUUAUGUUUAUGUAAGUUUUGUGCCUUUUCCUCCAGUGGCCAAGGAAAAAUAAUACAGCAUUUUAAAGAGCAUCAUGGACAUCACCGGAGGUGUUCAGGCCUUGUCUGCAUUUAUCAAGACUGUUUGAACACAUUUCAAACCCAAACUGAACUUAAAAACCACUUGAAAGAACAUUCAAAAGGUCAUAAAAUUGUGACCAAGUUAUGCUGUGAUUUGUGUACAUUCUCAGAGCCUAGUAACAUUAUCAAAUAUUGUGCCCAUCUGAAGACUCAUUUGAGGAACAGGGAAACAGUUAAAUGUCCGUUUGCAGGUUGCUCUUUCAAGUCCAAUGUACUUUCAACAUUUACUUCUCAUAGAAGUCGCUAUCAUAGGUUGUCCACCUUAAACAGUUAAACAGACCAGAGCUUUUUGUACACGAUGCACUUACAGAUGCAGUGCUAGAAGAGGAUUAUGUUUCUUGGACUGAGGCAUCAACUUCAUAUGAUUCAGUACCCGAGGGUGUACCUCCUCUUGAAAAUGGAGAGUCAAUUAAACGUCAGUUGGCAUCUUUAUUUAUCCGUAUGCAAACAAUUCUGCAUGUUUCAAAUUCUGCAGUACAGGAAGUAAUUGAUGAGUUAUUUGACAUUGGAGACUUUGCCUAUAAAAAUAUUAAAACAAUUAUAGAGAAAGUUUUGGAGGAAAAUAACUGUGCAGCUGAUGCCUCUGUUGUUACAUCAUUGUCUGAUGAAAUACAAUCGUUGAACCCACUCAAAUUUCUUUCAAGAGCAGGGCCUUUGGGCACAGAACGUAAAAGGCAGUCAUUUUACAGAAAGAUUUUUACAGUGAUUGAACCGGUUGAAUAUGUGCUAAAUCCACAAGAAAAAAAUCAUUCAUUUGUUUAUGUUCCUAUUUUAGAUUUGUUAAGUAAGUUGUUGGAAAGAAGUGAGAUUGUAGAGACAUUACAGAGAUCCAAUGGACAGGAAGGUCAUUACUGCUCAUUUCAAGAUGGUGAAUACUUUAAAGAAAACAAACUUUUUGCUGAAGGAUUAGGCAUAGCUCUUGGCUUAUACAUUGAUGAUUUUGAAAUCUGUAAUCCAUUGGGAACUUCAAGAAAGAAACAUAAAUUGUGUGGUAUAUAUUGGGUGAUAGCUAACUUACCCAUAAGACUUAGAUCAACAUUAUCAUCAAUUUAUCUAGCUGCAUUGUGCAAAACUGUACAUAUAAAACAAUAUGGUUACAGCAAAGUUUUGGAGCCUCUGAUUAGAGACCUUCAGCAUUUAGAGACGACUGGUGUAUUUGUGAAAAGACUUGGGUCUUGUGUCAAAGGUACUGUUUUGUAUGUGUCUGCCGAUAACUUAGGUGCACACUCCCUUGCUGGAUACCAAGAGUCUUUCAACGUGGAGAAAUUUUGCAGAUUUUGUUUGGCUAACCUUAAAGAUAUUCAGCAUCAUGAUGUCAGAAGUGGGGCAUUUACUUUGAGAACACCAGAACUGUUUGAUGAAGCCAUUAAUGUGCUUAACACAACUGAUGCCUCGUGUGUUCAUGGUUUGAAGAGAAACUGUCCUUUAAGCAGACUUGCCCACUUUCAUCCUGCAAAAGGUUUUCCACCUGAUUUUCUGCACGAUUUAUUGGAGGGAAUUGUACCUGUGGAACUAUGCAUAUGUCUUUCAGAUCUUAUUGCUAAAAAGUAUUUCACAUUGAAUGAUAGAAUAGCAUCAUUUUCUUUUCAGUUUUCUGACAAAACUGACAGGCCUCAGAAAAUACCAACAACCUUUUCAAAAAAAAGAACAAUUGGUGGCAACGGACACGAGAACUGGGCACUUCUGAGAUUUCUUCCACUGUUGAUUGGCCAUCAUAUUCCAGAGGGUGAAAAGACUUGGUCUGUGAUCCUUGAACUGAAAGACAUUGUGGAGGUGUUAUCAAGCCCCUCAUUCACAACAGAAACCCUGUGCUACCUACAAGCCAAAAUUUCUGACCACAGACAGUUGCUCUUAGAAUUAUUUCCUGGUACUAAAUUACGCCCGAAACAUCAUUAUCUUGAACAUUAUCCUGUUCUGAUUCAGAAAUUUGGACCAUUAAUUGAGUUCUGGACAAUACGAUUUGAGGCAAAACAUUCUUUUUUUAAAAGAAUUGUUCACAAUACUGGCAAUUUCAAAAAUAUUCUGCACACGUUGGCCACAAGACAUCAACUGAUGUUGUCAUAUUACUUGGAGAUGCCAACUAUUUUCAAGCCAAGCAUUGAGACUGGACGAGUAUCAGUUGUGUCUGUGGGCAUCCUAGAUGCUGCAAUCAGAGAGGCUGUAUGGAAUAAGUUUGAAGGUCUGGACUCUGUUUCACUCACCUCCAUUGCUUACUUGAAUGGGACAAAAUAUUCUAAAGGCAUGGUACUCUCAGUUGGACAUACGUGUGGACUGCCAGAUUUUGGGAGAGUAUUGGAGAUCUGUGUAGUGGAUGGUUGCAUAUCAUUCAUUACUGAACUAUUCACAGCGACCUUCCAAGAGCAUCUCAGGUGUUACCAGCUCGCCAGAAGAGAUCCUGCAACAAUUGUGGUCAUUGAUCCGGACCGUCUGAAUGACUACAUUCCCCUUGCUGCAUACCCUGUUGAGGAAAAGCUGCUCGUCACUCCAAGGACAUUCAUGUUACAUUAAGGUAAUAUUUGAUUGGGUUGGUUUGUCAUACAUUUAAACAAAUUCUUAAUCUUUGGACCACAUAACGGGAUAUAAACUGCACUUAAAAGGUUAGACGACACUAUUUGCUAUAUAACGAUGUAGCGUAGAAAUGGCUACCUGAUCUCUGAAUUCACCCUCCCUAUCUGUUGUAAUCUCUCUGCUGUUUUAACUCCAUUCACAGCUUCUUUUAGAUUUAUGUUAUUUACUGUCUAAUGCUGCGUUUUCUUGUUUGUUCACUGUGUUUCAGUUCUUGGUAUCUCAUCAAUGAUGCUUCUCAGAGUCAUCGUCUCACCUCAGGAAAUAAGACGUGUCACCCUACAGGAGGUUCCCCCAUCAGUUGAUGAGUUAUGUCUAGUUCUGGGCAACACUCUGGGCCUCCGUGGGAAGUUCCUUUUACAGUUUGAAGAUCCAGACUUUGGGAAUGAGCUCUGCAAUUUGACAGACAUCAAGGACCUACCAACUGAACGAGCCACACUGAAAGUUCUGUUCACGUUUUCUGAACCAGUUUCUGACUCGACAUUAGAUACUGCAAGCCUUAGUUCCCAGAAUAGUGCAAGCCCCGAGCCCCCUGGUAGUGGUGAUUCUUCAGAAUGGCCUGAUCACUUUGUUAUUUCAGAUUUCUCCCAUGACGUUGAGUUUCAGCUGAGGGUAGCAAAUGAUGCCUAUGCCAAGGAUGGAGCUGUGAUGGUCAUCUCAAAGAGUGUGAAGAGUGAAAUACUGGACAGACUGGCUGAUAGCAUAACCAGAAUCACUUGCUAUCCAAGUAAAGACAAUUUAGAAAGCGUAGCCAAAGCUCUUGUUGAAAAGCAUCCUUGUCUCAGGGAGCCGGGUUCAGGUAAAGGAUGGUACUGCUGGAGAUUCAGCCUGAUAUUCAAGAUGGGCAAUUACCGUCAGAGGAUGAUGGCAGCUGGAUGCCCUGAAGUUCUUGUAAAUAAAAGAAAAAGAAAGGGAAACACCAAGCCAGUCAAGAAGGCAAAAAAGGGAGAGAUCAACUACUUACCAGAGCCACCUGAUGGACAAAGUACUGUUAAAUCAGAGAAGGAUCGUGAGACCAUGCUUUUGGAAGUGCAGAAGAGAGAGCCAGAUUUGCACCUGCUCGAUGAAUUGAUGACUGCAACAUUCUCCCAGCGAAGACAAGAGAUCAUUGGUGACGAGCCACUCAUUUCUGCAGUCAAGGACAGAUGGCCUGCAUUGUUUAGUGAGAGACAGCUCAUUGCUGAGUUCAGUAGAAUCGUCACCAAAGACCUGCUGGAGUCAUUCCUGGAUGGACUUGAUGCCUUGGUGCCAGGUGUUCUACAGAUGUACGGAGAAGCUGCUGCAUCAGGCAGGAGUGUGCGCCUGAGCAGUGUUCUCAGUUGUCUUCAAAAGGAGGACACGAACCAAAACAAAAGAGCAGCUGUCCUACUUGGUCUUCCAUGCUACCUUGCAGAAGAUUCCUCUGACAUAAUCAGGAUGUGUGAUGCUCAUGGUGAAACCCUUGACGUGCUAAUGAGCGGGAUGCAAGUUGGACUGUUGAUUGGACACGAAGGCCCUCUGCAUGAUGCAUUUCCAUUGGAUGUUUUCAACGUGGCUCUGGUAGUAGAGGAGAAGAUUAUCCUACAUGACCUCCGAGAUGUGUCCACAGGCUUUGCCAUGUUACUGGGUGCAAUCUACUGCCUAAACCUUGAGUACCCACGUAAUAUGAAGUAUUCUUUUGAGUUCCUUCAGAGGGUUGUCAUGAACAUUAAACCGGAACAAUGUUCACCCAGAAUCCAUGGACUCAGAAAUAAACUGCUUAGAUAUCGCAUGUAAACAAAGAAAUGCACUUGUCAAGCAACUACUAGGAGGCAGCAGUUAUUUGGGAAGCUUGCCUUGUUCUUUACACUAGCAUACAGGUUUUCAUCGGCUUAGUUUGUUCAGCACAAGUCAGGUAUGCGUGACAAAUGUGUCACUUGUGAAGUUGAAAAAUCUGAAAUUGUUGAAAAAUCUAAAAUAGUUUAAAUGUGCAAAACAUUUUGAGGUAUAAUGAAAACAAACUUUUGUUUCGAAUUGUGGUUAAAGAAUCUUUUAGAAGUGGAUGUUGAUGUUUUGUAAAGCUCUGCGUAUACCACAUUUUUCCUCUGUACAACUUCGCCAUACUUAUUCUCUCAUUCACAGUUUUAAAAUUGUGUUAAAUUAACACAAAUGUAAGUGAGGAUAAGUAAGUAAGUAUUUAUAAUGUACACCAUUGUUUUUGUUCAUAUGACGAUAUGGACCGGUUAUCUCACUUUUUGCCUCUUAUGACACCUGCCCAUCUGUCCCCCUUUCCUCAGCACUCUCGGUUGUCAACCUCAGUGAGGCCUGUUUUGAUGCAAAGACAUGUUUAAGAUGUAUCAAUGUUCCACAUUGUUCAUAUUCAUGUCGAGAUUUUAUGAUUAUCUGUUUACUAUCUCACAUACGUCAUUGUUCAACCCCACCUCACCUUCUUUCUUUCUACGAGUCCACCCUCUGUCUCGCUGUCAGUCCACCCUCUGUCUGUCUGUCUGUCUGUCUGCAAGUCCACCCUCUGUCUGACUGUCAUGUCUGUCUGCAA